rnacentral:lncRNA from 1 species
UUCCCUAAGUGGCGUUACUGGCUGGAGAAUAAGCACUCCCAACACGAAACUGUGGUGUUAUCUCAAACUGUAACAGCGGAUGCUUAAUGAACCACUGAUGUCCUUCACCCGUAGAGCAGCAGAUGCUGUAACAAAUGAUCACAAAGCUAGUAAAAUUGUGUAACAAAAUAAAUGAAUUAUCUGAAAGCCGUGGAGGCUGGACAUCUGAAAUCAAUAUCACUGGAUGGAAUUAAGGUGUAGAGACAUGGGGCUGCUUCGGACUGUACACAGCAGCCAAUUGUGAUCGGUCUCCUGCCCUAGCAGAGAUUUAUUUCUUUAUCUCUCAGAUAAAUCGAAGAGCUACAUGCUCAGCACCUUUCAAGUUUGGCCCCACCUGCAAAUAAUGUGACUGUGAACAGCUAAGCUGGUUGGUAAGACUCAUAGGCACUCUCCAAUUCAAGGACCAGACAGCUGUAAGAAAAAGAAGCCAGCUGUAGAUCCAACACUGGGACCUAUAUUCCUUGUGGGAAAACGCGAAAACAUUUCCAGCUAACGAUUUCUGGGAAGAACAAGCUGCAACAUAACCACAAGAGACAAAUAGCAAGCAAUUGGACAGCUGAUGAACAGCCUCCUGUCAAUCAUCAUCCUAAGUGAGCCAAUUGUUCUGACUGUCUGGUCUUCCAGGAUUGUGAUGUUGCCAUUGCUGGGCACCAGGCCAGCAGGCAGGCUGAGGCUCCUUCUGUGGAAGAGGA